UACGAAGGGGGCUAGCGUUGCUCGGAAUUACUGGGCGUAAAGCGUGCGCAGGCGGUUGUGCAAGGCCGAUGUGAAAUCCCCGGGCUUAACCUGGGAAUGGCAUUGGUGACUGUACGGCUAGAGUGUGUCAGAGGGGGGUAGAAUUCCACGUGUAGCAGUGAAAUGCGUAGAGAUGUGGAGGAAUACCGAUGGCGAAGGCAGCCCCCUGGGAUAACACUGACGCUCAUGCACGAAAGCGUGGGGAGCAAACAGG
rnacentral:rRNA from 1 species